UUUACUUAAGACUCGGUAGACAAUUGCUGAGCGGUUUGGGAGUUCGUUUUGGUGAUGAAGUGUCCGACAUGAUUGUCAGAAUCAAGAGAGGACUCCUGAGGUGCUGUUAUUCUCAACCACCUGAGCCACCAGAUACCAAAAGAAAUACCUCCAGCAGUAUAUAAAUCACAAGCAUACGUCUUAUCGAGUAUUAUGCUUCAUUUGUAUGAUAUUGUAUAAACAGAGAAGAUAUUCAGAAAAUUAAAUGAACUGUUUAUAAGAAA